rnacentral:lncRNA from 1 species
UUUAUGGAGUGUCCCAUCGUCUCCUUCUAGCUCUAGAACUUUAAUGUCUUCCUAUCGACAUAACUCUGCACACUGCUGAGUUAGCUGAUUUGUAGCUAUAGACUUCAGUUUAUCUUCAUUAGUCUUUAGCUUUUCUAUCUCAUUACCCAUACUGUCCACUUUCAUUGAAAGCGUAGUUAGGGUGUUAAGUAUUUUUUCUAGAGUAUCUUCCUCUACUAUUUCAGUCUGUGUAGCUUUGUCUUGAUAUGUAAUCUGCAA